GGAGCGUAGCGUAGCUUGGUAGCGCGUCUGGUUUGGGACCAGAAGGUCGUGGGUUCAAAUCCCACCGCUCC
rnacentral:tRNA from 1 species